rnacentral:rRNA from 1 species
AACGAACGCUGGCGGCAGGCUUAACACAUGCAAGUCGAGCGCCCCGCAAGGGGAGCGGCAGACGGGUGAGUAACGCGUGGGAAUCUACCGUGCCCUACGGAAUAACGCAUGGAAACGUGUGCUAAUACCGUAUACGCCCUACGGGGGAAAGAUUAUCGGGGUAUGAUGAGCCCGCGUUGGAUUAGCUAGUUGGUGGGGUAAAGGCCUACCAAGGGGACGAUCCAUAGCUGGUCUGAGAGGCUGAUCAGCCACAUUGGGACUGAGACACGGCCCAAACUCCUACGGGAGGCAGCAGUGGGGAAUAUUGGACAAUGGGCGCAAGCCUGAUCCAGCCAUGCCGCGUGAGUGAUGAAGGUCUUAGGAUUGUAAAGCUCUUUCACCGGUGAAGAUAAUGACGGUAACCGGAGAAGAAGCCCCGGCUAACUUCGUGCCAGCCGCCGCCGUAA